AUUGAACGCUGGCGGCAGGCCUAACACAUGCAAGUCGAGCGGAUGAAGGGAGCUUGCUCCUGGAUUCAGCGGCGGACGGGUGAGUAAUGCCUAGGAAUCUGCCUGGUAGUGGGGGAUAACGUCCGGAAACGGGCGCUAAUACCGCAUACGUCCUGAGGGAGAAAGUGGGGGAUCUUCGGACCUCACGCUAUCAGAUGAGCCUAGGUCGGAUUAGCUAGUUGGUGGGGUAAAGGCCUACCAAGGCGACGAUCCGUAACUGGUCUGAGAGGGUGAUCAGUCACACUGGAACUGAGACACGGUCCAGACUCCUAGGGGAGGCAGCGGGGGGGAAUUUUGGAAAUUGGGCGAAAGCCUGACCCAGCCAUGCCGGGUGUGUGAAGAAGGUUUUCGGAUUUUAAAGCACUUUAAGUUGGGGGGAAGGGCAGUAAGUUAAUACCUUGCUGUUUGGACUUUACCAACAGAAUAAGCACCGGCUAACUUCGU
rnacentral:rRNA from 1 species